AACGGGUGAGUAACACGUGAGCAACCUGCCCUGGACUCUGGGAUAAGCGCUGGAAACGGCGUCUAAUACUGGAUAUGAGCCUUCAUCGCAUGGUGGGGGUUGGAAAGAUUUUUUGGUCUGGGAUGGGCUCGCGGCCUAUCAGCUUGUUGGUGAGGUAAUGGCUCACCAAGGCGUCGACGGGUAGCCGGCCUGAGAGGGUGACCGGCCACACUGGGACUGAGACACGGCCCAGACUCCUACGGGAGGCAGCAGUGGGGAAUAUUGCACAAUGGGCGAAAGCCUGAUGCAGCAACGCCGCGUGAGGGAUGACGGCCUUCGGGUUGUAAACCUCUUUUAGCAGGGAAGAAGCGAAAGUGACGGUACCUGCAGAAAAAGCGCCGGCUAACUACGUGCCAGCAGCCGCGGUAAUACGUAGGGCGCAAGCGUUAUCCGGAAUUAUUGGGCGUAAAGAGCUCGUAGGCGGUUUGUCGCGUCUGCUGUGAAAUCCCGAGGCUCAACCUCGGGCCUGCAGUGGGUACGGGCAGACUAGAGUGCGGUAGGGGAGAUUGGAAUUCCUGGUGUAGCGGUGGAAUGCGCAGAUAUCAGGAGGAACACCGAUGGCGAAGGCAGAUCUCUGGGCCGUAACUGACGCUGAG
rnacentral:rRNA from 1 species